rnacentral:rRNA from 1 species
GAUGAACGCUGGCGGCGUGCCUAAUACAUGCAAGUCGAGCGAACAGACGAGGAGCUUGCUCCUCUGACGUUAGCGGCGGACGGGUGAGUAACACGUGGAUAACCUACCUAUAAGACUGGGAUAACUUCGGGAAACCGGAGCUAAUACCGGAUAAUAUAUUGAACCGCAUGGUUCAAUAGUGAAAGACGGUUUUGCUGUCACUUAUAGAUGGAUCCGCGCCGCAUUAGCUAGUUGGUAAGGUAACGGCUUACCAAGGCAACGAUGCGUAGCCGACCUGAGAGGGUGAUCGGCCACACGGGAACUGAGGCACGGUCCAGACUCCUACGGGAGGCAGCAGUAGGGAAUCUUCCGCAAUGGGCGAAAGCCUGACGGAGCAACGCCGCGUGAGUGAUGAAGGUCUUCGGAUCGGAAAACUCUGUUAUUAGGGAAGAACAAAUGUGUAAGUAACUGUGCACAUCUUGACGGUACCUAAUCAGAAAGCCACGGCUAACUACGUG